rnacentral:rRNA from 1 species
UACGUAGGGGGCUAGCGUUGUCCGGAUUUAUUGGGCGUAAAGAGCGUGUAGGCGGCCAGGUAGGUCUGCUGUCAAAACUCGAGGCUCAACCUCGAGACGUCGGCGGAAACCAUCUGGCUAGAGUCCGGAAGAGGAGAGUGGAAUUCCUGGUGUAGCGGUGAAAUGCGCAGAUAUCAGGAAGAACACCCGUGGCGAAGGCGGCUCUCUGGGACGGUACUGACGCUGAGACGCGAAAGCGUGGGGAGCGAACAGG